AUGAAGACAGCUGAAGAGACAGGUGCAUCUGAUGAAACGCACAGGAAGGAGGCGUCUGUAGACUCGAGUGCGUGUGCGGUGGCGUGCCGUCCGCGCAGGCGCUGGUCCUGUCGUGUGGGAUCGCUGGAGCUCAUGGUGAAGUCUAUGCUGGAGCUGCGGCAGCUCGAUUCACUCUCUGAAGCUCCAGUCCAGAGCCGAAGCUGCGCUGAACGACUGCGGGACGAGGAUCGAGGCAGCACCUCCAGCCUGCAGGAUUGGAGUCUCCGGCGUCCUCGUGACUCGGCCUGGCUGGUUCCUGUCGGCGCUCCUGAACCUGAGGGUGUGGUUCUGUACCCGGAUCACUGUCCCAGCACCAGCAGCCUGCCUGGACCGUCCUACCGGAUACAGGCUCUGUCUGAGACCAUCGAACAUGAGGAGAGAGCAGAAGAAGCUCAGAGUCCCGUCAGUGGCGCCUCCAUGGGCUACGGCAGCGGAGGAUCCAGUCCAGACCACCGACACCACGGUAAAACCUCACACACACAGGAUGUGGAGGCGCUGGGCUCUGACGAUGAAUCCUGUGAUGGUAGCAGUAGCACACGGCCAAUCUGUGAUUCUGAGAGUGUUCCGCAUCAGGACGUCUGGAGGAGAAGCUCUGAGACGCUGACGGACGGCAACAAUGCAGGGUCUCAGAUGAGAUCUGAAGGAAGCAUCUCAGCAUGCUUGCACAGCCAGAAGUCCUCUAGCAGGAUGGACUCGGCAUUUCCUCAUCAGUCUGGCAGAUCCAGUGUGGCAGUGAAGCCCACGGUCAGCGGCGUCAGGCCCCUGAUGGAGGACGCAGGUGACCCCGAUCGUCCAGAGCAGCGCCGCGUCCCGCAGAGGAGCCACCCGUACCUGAGCCGCGUCUCCUGCCCCGUCAGCAGGACCUCAGCUGGACUCCAGAAAUCUGCUUCAGCACACAGUCUGAGCAGCCACCGUGAGUGUUUGAUCUGAUGAGGGCUGAUCAGCAAAUGCUCUGGAAUACAUCACACUGAUUGAGCGUUCAUCAUUAGGUCAAGUAUUUUU
rnacentral:lncRNA from 1 species